rnacentral:rRNA from 1 species
GAUGAACGCUGGCGGCGUGCCUAAUACAUGCAAGUCGAGCGAACGGACGAGAAGCUUGCUUCUCUGAUGUUAGCGGCGGACGGGUGAGUAACACGUGGAUAACCUACCUAUAAGACUGGGAUAACUUCGGGAAACCGGAGCUAAUACCGGAUGAUAUUUUGAACCGCAUGGUUCAAAAGUGAAAGACGGUCUUGCUGUCACUUAUAGAUGGAUCCGCGCUGCAUUAGCUAGUUGGUAAGGUAACGGCUUACCAAGGCAACGAUGCAUAGCCGACCUUAGAGGGUGAUCGGCCACACUGGAACUGAGACACGGUCCAGACUCCUACGGGAGGCAGCAGUAGGGAAUCUUCCGCAAUGGGCGAAAGCCUGACGGGGCAACGCCGCGUGAGUGAUGAAGGUCUUCGGAUCGUAAAACUCUGUUAUUAGGGAAGAACAUAUGUGUAAGUAACUGUGCACAUCUUGACGGUACCUAAUCAGAAAGCCACGGCUAACUACGUG